UGAAAUACUGGUUCCAUUAUGAUCACCAAAGUUAAGCAACAUUGAGCAUGGUCAGUAUCUAGAUGGAUGACUGCUUGGGAAUACCAGGUGAUGUA